rnacentral:rRNA from 1 species
CAGUCGCCGCGGGAAUACGGAGGGGGCUAGCGUUGUUCGGAAUUACUGGGCGUAAAGCGCACGUAGGCGGCUUUACAAGUCAGAAGUGAAAGCCUGGUGCUCAACACCAGAAUUGCCUUUGAGACUGUAUCGCUUGAACGUCGGAGAGGUGAGUGGAAUUCCGAGUGUAGAGGUGAAAUUCGUAGAUAUUCGGAAGAACACCAGUGGCGAAGGCGGCUCACUGGACGACUGUUGACGCUGAGGUGCGAAAGCGUGGGGAGCAAACAGGAUUAGAUACCCCUGUAGUCCCUGUCUCUUAUAC